AUGUGGGAAAAUCUUUUAAAUGGUUUCUAUUUUUUCCAGAGCUGCAUUUUGGGCUAGUUUAAACUUCUAAAGGGCAGGUUUUUGACUGACUUUGGGCUGAAUGUUUUUGUUGAACCUGGCAACCCUGAGCUGGGUCCUGUAGCAGCGUUGUGUGAACCUCAGUGCGUGGUGCUUUUGAAGGAGCGCGCUGCGGCGGGAAAUUCAAAUAUUCUGGCGGUUGGUGGAGGCCUGACAGGAUUUACAGUGCCUUUCCCCAGUUCCCGGAUCACCUCAUAGUACUUGUUGACCUCAACCUUCUCCAGGUUCUGGGCUGCAAACACCUGCAGCUCCUCUAGGAUGUCCACAGACACACGAGAGCCAACCGGAGAGGAACUCAUGCUUCCACAGGAGCAGUUCCAGCUGUCCAAAUCUCAGCUUUACUGCAUAUAACAGAAGAAAGAGUGGCACUGUGGAACUCAGCGCAGGAACAAGCCAUCACACUUAAUCAGCCAUUACAUAAUCAGCCUGGUAUAAAAUGUUCUGCGGCUUCUCCUGCUCAAUCUCUCUGCCUGUCCCUUCAACAACCUACAGCACAGGUUUACAUCCUCCUUUAUUUCAGCUCCCUAACCAGUACGUAGCUCACAUUUAAGGGCAAAAGAAACAUAAAAGGCCUUAUAUUCUAACAGUAUUCUUCAGUUUCUGAAUUAGUUUAUUUGAUUCUGCUAUUUAUAGGUAUAUGUUUGAUUAAAAUGAACGUUGUUGUUUUAUUCUAUAAACUACAUUUUUCCCAAAUUCCAAAUAAAAACAUUGUCAUUUAGAGCAUUGUCAUCUUAGAAAUUGAGAAAAGGUUGAAAUAAAGACCUCAAAUAAUGCAAAGAAAACAAGUUUAUAUUAAUCUCAUUCAAGUUUUAAGAGUUCAAAAAUCUAUAUUUGGUGGAAUAACCCUGGUUUUUAAUCAGUUUUAAUGCAUUUCUGUAUGUUCUCCUCCACCAGUCUUACACACUGCUUUUGCAUAACUUCAUGCCACUCCAGGUGCAAGAAUUCAAGCAGUUCAGCUUGGUUCGAUUGCUUGUGGUCUAUCUAUCCUCCUCUUGAUUAUAUUCCAGAGGUUUUCAAUUUGGUAAAUGCAUUUUUAAAUGGUCUCUUCCUUUUUUACAUAGCUGUAUAUCUAAUAUACCUAUAUUUGUUUAAUUGUAACCUGGAGAUAUAUUUGUGUGAGUUUAUGAGCCAAAACAGUACUAAUUUUUGUUUUGAUGGCUUAAGCUGUAGUGGAAAAAAAACUUUUAAAACACUUAGUUUAAUUUACUAGCACACACUAAACGUACACUGUCACUGUUAUCGUGUGAUGUUUAACAAACUAUUUAUUUACAACUGACAUAUGCAAAUGACCUCUAAUCUGUUUGUCUUUUGUUUUGAGUUUUGUUUGUUUUUUUCAGUUUUGGGUAAUUUAGAGGUGAUGCUCACUGCAACACCAGGUGAUGCACUACGCAUUUCCGGCGCUCCGCCCACGCGGACCACGCACAGCGUGUAGGACACCAUGUGUCCGUGUAGGAGGCUCGUGAAAAAUUAUCCUAAUAAAGCCCUUCCCCUCCGCCCAGUGAUCCGAUCAUUACACCUCAAUCUCAGGUUCAGCAGCACCUGUGACUGGACUUGUGUAUGGACUGUGUUGGUUGGUUGGUUGACAUGACGGUGAAAGGCAUGAAGACUCGAGGCGGAAAAGAGAGACGUCGUUUGCAGUGCAAAGUCCAGCUCAUUGGCUGACAAGUGGAUGAAGUGCCGCUCCCGUUUCACUGUGGUCUUGACUUCCACAAACACCUCUCGUGUGCCGUUCUGGCCGUUUGCGAAGGUCAGCUUGAAGUCACAAGGUUGGCCGGUUUCACCACUUUGGUUGUACCAGACGACCUCACUGGGUCCGCUGCCGGUGUCUCUCCAGUGUGUGAGGAAAGAGUAGACCAGCUGCUCUCCCCAUUUGCCGAUAUCAGUUGUGUCAUCAAAGUCCUCCGCCAGCUGCAGGGAUUGAGGCAGGCUGCAGUCCAGCACAAGGUCUUCCAGAACGGCUUCUGCGGUCAAUGGUUUGGUCCACACCGCACUGUCCAGUGGAAUGAGUGGACGCUGAGGACUGCCUCCCUGGAACUGGCUUGUGAUUAUCUCUGGAGCUUGAACUGCGACUAACCUGAGUGAGGGGCGCAGCCACUUGCCCUGGGGACAGGAGCACUAGGAGCUCCUGAUGGAGUGCUGUGUUGUUGGAACUCUCCCGUAUUCCCCUGAGAGCUCACACUGGAGGGGGUCCUCUCUGCUCCAGAGCCCCGCUGAGCUGGAACCGCUGAGGAAGUUGGAGGUGCUGGAGGAGGCCACAUCUUCAUCACUGCAUCCACAGCCUGACUUCCUGCUCCUACAUGCACAAAACCAAACAGGAAAGACACGUAAAAGACAUUUUAUGCAUGGUCUACAACAACCCUGUACCUGUGCUGCUCCCUCCUGUUUUACCAAGCGAUGCUCUGGGAGGCCAGCAGUGCAACUUAUCAUCUUCAUCCUCCUCAGUCUUCUUCUCUACUUCCUGCACACUUGCAGCUCCAGAUGCGAGGCUGGUGGGCACUGCCAAGAGAAUCACCAGCCAUCAACACAGCUUAAUCAUCAGCAACAGUAAUAUCACGUCACCACAACUGGCUGCUACUGCUUUCUGUAAUUUUGUAAAAAAAAAAAAAAAUUGUAGUAUUUAGCUAUGGAAACACUGCAUGGUUUACUACUGACGAGUUCAGAAGAUACAAGGAUACCGGCAUAAAAAUCAUGAGACAGAAACAAGUAUCAAGUCCAAUGACCUUUGGCGUGUCUCUAGAAAGCUAAAACUACUGUACUGACCUGUCUCCAGCAUUAAAUGGGCAUGGCAUUUCUGUCAGACUCUGUCGGUCACAAUUAUUACCACCCACUGCGCUGUCCACUGUGUGUGGUAAUUCAUUUUAUGAUGUAUUUACGGUAUUUACCGGACACUGUGGAUCAAGAAAUGUUCAUUUCUGUUCCAUAAAUCUGCACACUCUAUCAGACCUGAUAAUUCAGGUCUCUUUGUCAUGAGCUCUCUGGCCAGUCCUCAACCUCACUCACAAGACAAAACCUAAAAACUUUACGAUCAGUUUACCAACUGCUGUCCCAUGACUUUCUGCAUUUUAGGUGUAUUUCAGUGCUAUAUUUUGCAGCCCUAGUUGUUGUAUGUAUGGCUGUUGUUUAGCUAAAGCAUGCAUGUGCAUAAAGCGUACAGGAGGGAUGUUCCCCUUUGCUGUCUUGAAACUAAGGCAACAGCUGCGCUUUCAUGCCAGCAAGCACAGCGAUGAAACAAAUCCCUAUUAGCAUAUGUAGCCCGCGUGUCCACGUGCAUGCAUGAAUGGAAGAUGAAAAGGAGGGAAAAUAACAGACCGCUGGAAAAGACUAGGAGAAUUCUGGGAUUAAAGCAGCAGUGCAUGUCUGAAUUGCAAAUGUGUCACAGAUGCGACUUCAAAACCAUGAGAAACAUCAAGAGAACAUG